GACGAAGGAUGCAAGCGUUAUCCGGAUUCAUUGGGUUUAAAGGGAGCGUAGGUGGCCUUAUAAGUCAGUGGUGAAAUCUCUGGGCUUAACCCAGAAAUUGCCAUUGAUACUGUAGGGCUUGAGUAUAGUUGCCGUUGGCGGAAUAUGACAUGUAGUGGUGAAAUACAUAGAGAUGUCAUAGAACACCGAUUGCGAAGGCAGCUGACGAAACUAUAACUGGCACUGAGGCUCGAAAGUGCGGGGAUCAAACAGG
rnacentral:rRNA from 1 species